GACGUAGGGGACGAGCGUUGUCCGGAUUCAUUGGGCGUAAAGCGCGCGCAGGCGGCCUCGCGCGCCCGACGUGAAAGCCCCCGGCUUAACCGGGGAGGGUCGUUGGGGACGGCGGGGCUUGAGGGCGGGAGAGGUCGGUGGAAUUCCCGGUGUAGUGGUGAAAUGCGUAGAGAUCGGGAGGAACACCUGUGGCGAAGGCGGCCGACUGGGCCGACCCUGACGCUGAGGCGCGAAGGCGUGGGGAGCGAACGGG
rnacentral:rRNA from 1 species